rnacentral:rRNA from 1 species
CCUACGGGUGGCAGCAGUCGGGAAUUUUGGGCAAUGGGCGAAAGCCUGACCCAGCAACGCCGCGUGAAGGAUGAAGUCUUUCGGGAUGUAAACUUCGUAAGAAUGGGAAGAACAAAUGACGGUACCAUUUGUAAGCCCCGGCUAACUACGUGCCAGCAGCCGCGGUAAUACGUAGGGGGCAAGCGUUGUUCGGAUUUACUGGGCGUAAAGGGCGCGUAGGCGGCAGAUCAAGUCAGCUGUGAAAUCUCCGAGCUUAACUCGGAACGGUCAGCUGAUACUGUUUUGCUAGAGUGCAGAAAGGGCAACCGGAAUUCUUGGUGUAGCGGUGAAAUGCGUAGAUAUCAAGAGGAACACCUGAGGCGAAGGCGGGUUGCUAGGCUGACACUGACGCUGAGGCGCGAAAGCUAGGGUAGCAAACGGGAUUAGAUACCCUGGUAGUC